rnacentral:lncRNA from 1 species
UAAACAUUAGAGGCCCAUUAAGGAAACAGAAAAAUGUUUGUACUUUUUAUUCAAUUUUUUCAUUUCCUUCUCCAGCAGGCAAGAGUGAUUACAACAUUUCCCAGCCAGAUUGCUUCUUUUUCCCCUUUUUGUUUACUUAGUCCAGAUUCCAGCCAAAAAGGAAUUAACAUUCUUGGAGAUGUUGGAAAAAGAUUCCUGGGCCUUGGAAGAUAAUUACUCCAAAUAUACAGGGGAGUGGGAGGAGGGCGAAGUGGAGAGACAUCAGUUUUCCAGACUGAUUUGGCAAGCCUCAGUUCCUUGAUGGCUGUUGGCUAAAGACUUCAGUUCUUCACCAUGUGAACAAAGGCUGCCUGAGUAUCCCCACAACAUGACAGCUGGCUUCCACCAGAGGGAAUGAUCCAAGAGAGAAAUGCCAAGACAACAUGUAGGUGGGCACAAAUAAGGGUCUGAAUACCAAGGGUGGGGGAUUGUUGGGGAUCCUCUUGGAGGUAGACCACCAUACUUGACUCUUUUUUCUUUAACUGCUUCAAUUUAUUGAAUCAGGAGUUUGAUAUUUGACCCUCUGGUCAGAUCAUUAGAAGUAUGAGAGUCUAUGUAUCCAAAUAAGUGCUCUUUUCUAAGGUGCACAGUUUCUUGCCUGUGAAUAUAUAAAUUCCAUAAGUGAUGCUACACUCCUUUUGGAAAUUUUCUAAGGAGUGUAUAAGAAAGCUCAUUUUAUAGUUAGAAUACUCUACCUUGAUCAUAUAUAUUUUUCUUGGGCCCAUUUCCCUUUUCCCAAUUCUUCCUAGGUGGAGAUGGUUAGAGAGGCUGAAGUAGACGUAGAUAUAAGUACCCCUGGUAUUUUGCUUGGGGUGCAGACUGACUUGGAAAGGUUGAAAUUUCUGUUUCCAGUUUUUCAAGGAAUGUAGUCCAAUUACUUAAUGGCACUUACAUAAAUAUUUGACAUAGGAUGGAAUGAAGGUAUAAAUAUGCAGCAGCUUUAAAGCAAUUUGUCCUUUUCCUCAAAAGCUUUAUCCAAUAUAGUAAGUAUACUUUUUUCUUUUUCUUUUUUUUUUUAAGUAGACUCCACACCCAGCGUAGAGCCCAACACAGGGCUUGAACUCAUGACCCUGAGAUCAAGACCUGAGCUGAGAUCAAGAGUCAGAGAGGCACCCCAUACUUUUCUUUCUGUUGCUCCCCUCCCCCCAUGGUCUUCUGUCCCUCUUAAUGAGCAAAAUACAGACUUUGCCACGCAG